ACUUGAGGGGCAUACCGUGCUGUCGUCACAAAAUUAUAAAUCCUAACAGUGAAUCAUGGACAGUCUCCACCCCCGUCCCGACCCAUGAUCCACAAAAUAUGUUAUUUAGAUAUCCAGAGUUAGUCAGAUAUAGGGUUUUAAACGGAUGCAUUUCCUCUUUGGGGCACCUGGUAAUUAGCAUAAUAGCCUCUGGGGCCCCGCCUCCCCAUGCUGGGUGCCAUAGAUCAUGUGUUCAUCAGGGAAGCAGCUCCUACUCCCCAGAGGACCAAGAACAAAGGAACUGGCAGGCUGUAGAGGAGAGGCUGCCCAGUCAACAGUGUAUUAAAGACACCCAUUAGUUGCCUCAAUCAGCUAAUUAGCUCAACAAAUGCAAAAUAAAUCAUUAAACAAAGUGGUCCUGAUUGCAUUGCUGGCUUCUGAUUUGGUGUCACUAACCCAGCAGGGGGAACAGGGUUGUUCAACAGAAAACAAAAGCUGUCUACACUUGGGAGCUAGAAAGUGAUGGGACUUAAUUUUUUAUGAAAGUUGUGGUCUGUCAGGAGGUUUCGCUAACCAAAAAAAAAAAAAAAAAAAA
rnacentral:lncRNA from 1 species